rnacentral:rRNA from 1 species
UACGUAGGGGGCUAGCGUUGUCCGGAUUUAUUGGGCGUAAAGAGCGUGUAGGCGGCCAGGUAGGUCUGCUGUGAAAACUCGAGGCUCAACCUCGAGACGUCGGCGGAAACCAUCUGGCUAGAGUCCGGAAGAGGAGAGUGGAAUUCCACGUGUAGCAGUGAAAUGCGUAGAUAUGUGGAGGAACACCGAUGGCGAAGGCAGCCCCCUGGGUUAGCACUGACGCUCAUGCACAAAAGCGUGGGGAGCAAACAGG